rnacentral:tRNA from 1 species
GCCUGGGUGGCUCAGUCGGUUAAGCGUCUGACUUUGGCUCAGAUCAUGAUGUCGCAGUUUGUGAGUUCGAACCCUGUGUCAGGCU